rnacentral:rRNA from 1 species
AUACGGAGGGUGCAAGCGUUGUCCGGAUUUAUUGGGUUUAAAGGGUGCGUAGGUGGCUUGUUAAGUCCGGGGUGAAAGCCCACAGCUCAACUGUGGAACUGCCCUGGAUACUGGCGAGCUUGAGUCCAGACGAGGUUGGCGGAAUGGAAGCUGUAGCGGUGAAAUGCAUAGAUAGCUUCCAGAACCCCGAUUGCGUAGGCAGCUGACUAGGCUGGUACUGACACUGAGGCACGAAAGCGUGGGGAGCGAACAGGAUUAGAUACCCUGGUAGUCCACGCCGUAAACGAUGGAUACUCGCUGGCAGCGAUACACUGUUGCUGGCUUAGCGAAAGCGGUAAGUAUCCCACCUGGGGAGUACGCUCGCAAGAGUGAA